rnacentral:lncRNA from 1 species
GGGAGGGACUGGGGAAGGACUGGGAUGGAUUGGGAGAGACUGGGAUGAACUGGGAUGGACUGGGAGAGACUGGGAUGGAUUGGGAGGGGAUUGAGGGGGACUUAGAGUGGACUGGGAGCACUGGGAUGGACUGGGAGGCGAUUGGGGGUGACCGGGAUGGACUGGGAUGAACUGGGAGGGACUGGGAGCGCCGGCCGGUGACCCCUUCCCCAUUUGCCUCGCAGCAACACCAUCACCAAGUGAGGGGACACCUUGGGGACAUCGCUGGAAACCCUGGGGACGUUUCUGGGACUCUUCAGGACACCCCUGGAACCCUGGGGACAACCUUGGGGACAACCUGGGGCCACCCCGGUCCCCUCCCCGCCCCUGGGGACAAUAAAGGCCUCCGGGAGUCGCUUUGUGUCACCGCGUGUCACUGGGGGGGAGGGGACACCAGAGCCACCCCAGUGCCACCAGAAUCCUUUAUUGGGGACCGUCCCCUCCCCGCCCCCUGUCCCCCCUGUCCUUGUCCCCAGCGUCCUUCGGCCGCGGCGCCUCGGUCCCCGCGGUGUCCCCAAUGUCACCGCUCGUGUCCUCUGUGUCCCCCGAGUGUCCCCGGCUGCCGGGCUCUGAGCUGGCCCCGGUGUCCCCAACGCUGUCCUUGGUGUCCCCAUCGCUGUCCUUGGUGUCCUCAUCAUCCUCGUCAUUGUCCCCAUCGCUGUCCUCGCUGUCCCCGUCACUGUUCUCGGUGUCCCCGUUGUCCCCAUCGCUGUCCCCCGUGUCCUCCUCGGUGUCCCCAGGGGUCCCCCCCCGGUUGGUGUUGACAAAGAGCCCCUGCUCGUCCCUGGGGGGUCACACGGGGGGGGCACGGUGUCCCC